UCACAGUAAAACUGUAACUUAAAGUAGCUCCAGCCUCAGUGUUCACAGUAAAACUGUAACUUAAAGUAGCUCCAGCCUCAGUGUUCACAGUAAAACUGUAACUUAAAGCAGGUACAGCCUCAGUGUUCACAGUAAAACUGUAACUUAAAGUAGCUCCAGCCUCAGUGUUCACAGUAAAACUGUAACUUAAAGUAGCUCCAGCCUCAGUGUUCACAGUAAAACUGUAACUUAAAGCAGGUACAGCCUCAGUGUUCACAGUAAAACUGUAACUUAAAGUGGGUACAGCCUCAGUGUUCACAGUAAAACUGUAACUUAAAGCAGGUACAGCCUCAGUGUUCACAGUAAAACUGUAACUUAAAGCAGGUACAGCCUCAGUGUUCACAGUAAAACUGUAACUUAAAGCAGGUACAGCCUCAGUGUUCACAGUAAAACUGUAACUUAAAGUGGGUACAGCCUCAGUGUUCACAGUAAAACUGUAACUUAAAGCAGGUACAGCCUCAGUGUUCACAGUAAAACUGUAACUUAAAGCAGGUACAGCCUCAGUGUUCACAGUAAAACUGUAACUUAAAGUGGGUACAGCCUCAGUGUUCACAGUAAAACUGUAACUUAAAGCAGGUACAGCCUCAGUGUUCACAGUAAAACUGUAACUUAAAGUGGGUACAGCCUCAGUGUUCACAGUAAAACUGUAACUUAAAGCAGGUAGAGCCUCAGUGUUCACAGUAAAACUGUAACUUAAAGCAGGUACAGCCUCAGUGUUCACAGUAAAACUGUAACUUAAAGCGGGUACAGCCUCAGUGUUCACAGUAAAACUGUAACUUAAAGCAGGUACAGCCUCAGUGUUCACAGUAAAACUGUAACUUAAAGUGGGUACAGCCUCAGUGUUCACAGUAAAACUGUAACUUAAAGCAGGUACAGCCUCAGUGUUCACAGUAAAACUGUAACUUAAAGCAGGUACAGCCUCAGUGUUCACAGUAAAACUGUAACUUAAAGCAGGUACAGCCUCAGUGUUCACAGUAAAACUGUAACUUAAAGUGGGUACAGCCUCAGUGUUCACAGUAAAACUGUAACUUA